GAUGAACGCUGGCGGCGUGCCUAAUACAUGCAAGUCGAGCGAACAGACGAGGAGCUUGCUCCUCUGACGUUAGCGGCGGACGGGUGAGUAACACGUGGAUAACCUACCUAUAAGACUGGGAUAACUUCGGGAAACCGGAGCUAAUACCGGAUAAUAUAUUGAACCGCAUGGUUCAAUAGUGAAAGACGGUUUUGCUGUCACUUAUAGAUGGAUCCGCGCCGCAUUAGCUAGUUGGUAAGGUAACGGCUUACCAAGGCAACGAUGCGUAGCCGACCUGAGAGGGUGAUCGGCCACACUGGAACUGAGACAUGGUCCAGACUCCUACGGGAGGCAGCAGUAGGGAAUCUUCCGCAAUGGGCGAAAGCCUGACGGAGCAACGCCGCGUGAGUGAUGAAGGUCUUCGGAUCGUAAAACUCUGUUAUUAGGGAAGAACAAAUGUGUAAGUAACUAUGCACGUCUUGACGGUACCUAAUCAGAAAGCCACGGCUAACUACGU
rnacentral:rRNA from 1 species